GCUUACGGCCAUAUCAGCCUGGGUACGCCCGAUCUCGUCUGAUCUCGGAAGCUAAGCAGGGUCGGGCCUGGUUAGUACUUGGAUGGGAGACCGCCUGGGAAUACCAUGUGCUGUAAGCA
rnacentral:rRNA from 1 species